UACGGAGGGUGCAAGCGUUAUCCGGAAUCAUUGGGUUUAAAGGGUCCGCAGGCGGUCAAUUAAGUCAGAGGUGAAAUCCCACAGCUUAACUGUGGCACUGCCUUUGAUACUGUUAGUCUUGAGUCAUUUGGAAGUAGAUAGAAUAUGUAGUGUAGCGGUGAAAUGCAUAGAUAUUACAUAGAAUACCGAUUGCGAAGGCAGUCUACUACGUAUAUACUGACGCUCAUGGACGAAAGCGUGGGUAGCGAAAGGG
rnacentral:rRNA from 1 species